rnacentral:rRNA from 1 species
CCUACGGGAGACAGCAGUGGGGGAUAUUGCACAAUGGGGGGAACCCUGAUGCAGCGACGCCGCGUGGGUGAAGAAGCGCCUCGGCGCGUAAAGCCCUGUCAGCAGGGAAGAAAAUGACGGUACCUGAAGAAGAAGCCCCGGCUAACUACGUGCCAGCAGCCGCGGUAAUACGUAGGGGGCAAGCGUUAUCCGGAUUUACUGGGUGUAAAGGGGGCGCAGACGGCGAUGCAAGCCAGGAGUGAAAGCCCGGGGCCCAACCCCGGGACUGCUCUUGGAACUGCGUGGCUAGAGUGCAGGAGUGGCAGGCGGAAUGCCUGGUGUAGCGGUGAAAUGCGUAGAUAUCAGGAGGAACACCGGUGGCGAAGGCGGCCUGCUGGACUGCAACUGACGUUGAGGCCCGAAAGCGUGGGGAGCAAACAGGAUUAGAUACCCGAGUAGUC